rnacentral:lncRNA from 1 species
CUCUGUUCACGGAAAGGGCCUGGGAGCUGCAACACCUCAACAGCAACAAGCACACCUGCUACCUAGAACUUGGUUUCUAAAAACCAUCCUCCUCUAAAAGGAAACAGAGCUCUUUGAAGAAACGGUAAUUUCAAAGCUAGAGCACAGAAAGUAUAAGAUGAGCCCAGAAUAUCUUUUUGUACAAGAAAGUAAGGCAAUGCUCAAAGAAUGAUGGAGACAUGCCCAAAAAAAGCAGAGAAGCCAACUUGAAAAGAUUCCAACAGGCCAAAUAUGGGGCGAUUUGAACAUCAGAAUAAAAUGGUGACAGUCACAGAAUUAUAACCCAGUGAAGAAAGGAAUUCAUGACAUCAUAUUAAUAUAAAUAAUAAUUGAAUAUUGAAAUUCGUUAAA